rnacentral:rRNA from 1 species
CACGUAGGGGACGAGCGUUGUCCGGAAUCAUUGGGCGUAAAGAGCUUGUAGGCGGUUUGUCGCGUCUGCCGUGAAAAUCCGAGGCUCAACCUCGGACUUGCGGUGGGUACGGGCAGACUAGAGUGUGGUAGGGGAGACUGGAAUUCCUGGUGUAGCGGUGAAAUGCGCAGAUAUCAGGAGGAACACCGAUGGCGAAGGCAGGUCUCUGGGCCACUACUGACGCUGAGAAGCGAAAGCAUGGGGAGCGAACAGG